AUGAAGGCUUUUUUUCUCUGCCUGGCUGUCUUUGAGCUGGAGCAUCAGUCUUCUCCUGCCUUUGGACUGGAACUUCACGGGCUCUCCAGCUGGCUAGCUUCAGGUCGUGGACUUCUCAGCCUCCAUAAUGGCACCAGCCCAUUCCUUACAGUUGAAGUUCCCUUUACCGUGGAAUCUGGAUUUUUCCAUCCCCUGCCUUUACCUACAGAACAAGGACAUGAUUUGGCACAAGUCUUGGGACAGGACGGGGCACGUGUUUGUCCAAAGGGAUCACGGGGCGUGAGCUAUGAGCCGGUGAGAAGAGGGCCACUUGCUGGGACUUUAGUCCCAAGGGGCAGGUGUGGGGUGCGGGGCUCAGGCUCCGAGUGCAGAAGGAGGGUUGGUGGCCCAGGGCCACCAUUGGGCCAGUGGGGUCAUCAGAGGCCUCUAUGAACCCCAAGGUCCUGAUUGAUACCCUGGACGUAACAGCAUCCUCCCUCCAAGGGCUGUGGUGAGACUGAAACAAAGGUAGCUCCUUGGAAAGUGCUCGUGUGAUUUAUGGUAAGAUUAUAUAUUUGGUCUUUGUCCCUGUUCCUGGAACAGAGCUCCUAAGGCCCUUGGAAAGUGUUCAUUCAGUGCCCUGUCCUCCUAGUUUUGGGGUUAACUGGGAGGUAAGAGAUGAAUAGAUUAAGAAGAUGUGGUAUGUAUAUACAAUGCAAUACUACUCAGCUAUAAAAAAGGACAAAAUAAUGCCAUUUACAGCAACAUGGAUGGAACUAGAGACUCUCAUACUAAGUGAAGUCAGUCAGAAAGAGAAAGACAAAUACCCUAUGAUGUCACUUAGAUGUAGAAUCUCAUAUACAGCACACAUGAACCUAUCUAUGGAAAAGGAAAAAACUCAUGGACCUGGAGGACAGAUUUUCGGUUGCCAAGGUGGGUAGGGGGAGGGAGUGGGAUGGACUGGGAGUUUGGGGUUAGAAGAUGCAAACUAUGGCAUUUGCAGUGGAUAAGCAAUGAGACCCUGCUGUAUAGCACAGGGAACUAUAUCUAAUGACUUGUGAUGGAGCACGGUAGAGGAUAACGAGAGAAAAAGAAUCUAUGUAUAACUGGGUCACUUUGCUGUAUAGCAGACAUUGACAGAACACUGUAAAUCAACCAUAAAAGGCGGGGGGGCUUGCUGUACUGACUGCUGGAACACCCGUGCCCCUUGGGGAAAUUCAAGAAGCGUAGGGAAGGCUCUUCCUACCUUUUCUCUACCAAAAAGAUACACUUGCGCUGAGAGCUGGAGGUCCACUCGUGGAGAAUGCAUUGUGCUCCUGUCUCCUUGCCUUUCCCUUCUGGCUGGAAGGGAGACACAUCAGGUUCCUACCCAUUGACUGGAACACUCUCUCUUUCUCUCUCUCUCUCUCAGUAAAUUUUAGUUAAUUCUACAAACACUGAGCACCUGCUGACCUACUAUAUGCAAGACAAUGGACCAGGCACCACAGAUUUGUGUGAGAAAGAUAUGGUUUUGGCAACUUGAGAGAAUGUCCCACUAUCCUUUCACUCGUAGGGCUUGAGCAGGGGUUUUCCUGGGUCCCCAUCUGUCCUUGGAGGAAUCAGGCUUGUCUAGUUGAGAUCUGGUCCUGGCUCCCGCUUUCUGGUUGAAGACCCUCUUGAAGCCCCCUCCCUCAGACGAGCCCAGGGAGCAGCCACUCAUGCCUGGGAGCUGUGGCCAGCUGUUGUCAAGGCUUCUCUUCAUUUUCUUGCUUACCUUUUGUCCUGUGACUUGGGAUGCACUCUGGAGCAUCUGAUAAUUUUAGACUCUAAUGAUAAUUUAAAAAUUGCAAAGGCAGGAAUAUAGCCUCAUCCCUGGGGUAAUAUAGAUGCUUAAUCAAGCCUUUUAGCCUUUUUUUUUUUUUUUCUUUGCCUUUUAGCCUUUUUGUUUGAAAUAGAGACAUUUAAUGUCAUUAAAGGCUGCCCCCAAACACCUUGCAGCUUCACACAUUAGUCUCCCUUUCUGGCCUCCAGGAAGAAUACUUUAUUUUUCUCCCUUGGGUCCUCUUCUCCCUCCAUCCCUUUCCAUUUCCCCUUCUCCUUCUCUUGGGGGUUCCUCUGCUCCAAGUCCUGCCACAACCCCAGGAGACACCAGCUUCCACGGAAACAAGCUAUCCAACUCCUAGCCUCUCACGCCCUUGGCUCCUCCUCCUCCAAGCCCGCUCCUCCCUUCCAGCCCAUGCUAUGGACUUUGGUUGUCCCCAGUCCCGUGCCCCUAAGAUAAUGCCUGCAGUCACUGUGCCCCCUGACUGCAGCCCCUACCCUUUCAGGUCACCUGUUUGGUUACCCAUAACACCUUGCUCCUCUGGUCCUUUGGAUCUCCAGCCCAAGAUGCCUCCACACUGGCCCCACUGCCCAGUCCCUACCGCCUCCAUGUGCCUCCCUCCUCAGCUCCGAUUCCAUGCUCUAGCUCCAAGCACUAAUUGUCUAUACCCUAAAUUACCUUUAGCCCCUGUCCUUCCCUUGAAAGCACCUGGCAAAGCCCCAACCCUCAACAAACUCAGCCAAUGGCUUUUUGUGAUGCUGGCAGGCUGGGGCCCCGUGAAGUCCCGCUCUCCACCUUCAACUGGGCCCACGAGGGCGCCCAGCAGUCUCACUGCCCCAUGUCUCUAGUUGGCUCUCCCUUCCUUCCUCCACAAAGACCACCCCACCGGCUCAGGCUCUCACAAGCCCAGUGGUGCUAGCAGAUGUUUAAUAACAGGCUCUGGAAGGGGUGGGGAGAGCCCCGAUGCGUAGUGUUUGCUGAUGUUUAUGGUGUAAGUCCUCCCACUGUGGCCCAUUUCAAGCUACCCACAUGACACCAGUUAGCUACCACCUAGAUAUGACAGAUGUCAUAUCCUUAAGAGCAGAGUGGUAGUGACAUGAAGCGAAAUAAUUAGGAAAUGAUGAGGCUUUAGUGUUUAUCUUUUAAAAUAUAGUUUGAUGGUAAUUUAUAUAAUUUAAUAGAAAAAUAUUUUAUUUUGUGAUAAUUGUACAUUCACAUACAGUAUACAAAAUAGUACAGAUAGAUCCCUUAUACUCUUCAACCAGUGAUAGCAUCUUAUGGUACCAGAUCACAACCAGAAAACUGACAUUCAUACAAUCCAUUGGUCUUGCUCAGAUUUCACCAGGUUUGUUUUGUUUUGUUUUCAUUUUCUGGUCUUUUUUUAGGGUUGCACCGGAGGCAUAUGGAAGUUCCCAGGCUGGGGGUCGAAUUGGAAUUGUAGUUGCCGGCCUACACCACAGCCAUAGCAACUCGGGAUCCGAGCCGUGUCUUCGACCUACACCACAGCUCACGGCAACGCCAAAUCCUUAACCCACCCGAGUGAGGCCAGGGAUCGAACCCGAAACCUCAUGGAUGCUAGUCAGAUUCGUUUCCGAUGAGCCACAGCGGGAAGUCCUAUCGUUACUUUUUAUCAGCCAUUCUGGGGGGCAGUGAUACCCUGGGGCAGUGCUACUGUGCGCUUCCCUAAUAGCUAAUAAUGUCGGACAUAUUUCAUGUGCUAGUCGGCGUCUGUGUGUCCUCGUCAGUGAAAUGUCUAUUCACGCCUUUUGCACAUUUUCUAAUCGAAUUGUUUAUUUUUCAUUGCUGAGUUUUGAGAGUUCUUGGUAUAUUCUAGGAACGAGUCCUUUGACAGAUAUGUAGUUUGCAAGUAUUUUCUCCCAAUCUAUAGCUUCUCUUCUCAUUGUCUCAGAGAUGUCUUUCACAAAGCAAAAGCUUCUCUCUCUCUCUCUCUUUUUUUUUUUUUUGUCUUUCUAGGGCCGCACCUGAGUCACAUGGAGGUUCCCAGGCUAGGGGUCAAAUCAGAGCUCUAGCCACCGGCCUACACCACAGCCACAGCAACGCCAGAUCCGAGCUGCAUCUGCAACCUACACCACAGCUCAUGGCAACGCUGGAUCCUUAACCCACUGAGUGAAGCCAGGGAUCGAACCCGCAUCCUCAUGGAUCCUAGUCGGGUUUGUUACUUUGAAGCCACGGCAGGAUCUCCCUCACCUUCCCCUUUACAUCCUGCAAUCCUCCAGUCUUUCCCUCGAAUCCUGCUUCCCUGUUGCCCCUAAUCCAGGUCCCCACAGUCCUUCCUCUGGACCGUGGCAGCAGCCCCCUAGUGGGUCUUUCUGGCUCCCACCCAGUGCAUCUUCCACACUGCAGCCCAAGUCACCCUCCUAAGUACCAACCUGACCGUGUGUGCCGCUCUCCAGCUUCAAACCUUCCACUGGUUUCCGAUACGGUCCAUCUGAAGGUGCUCCUGCAGGAUCUGGUCUGGCCCAAUACUCCCUUUAGUCCCAUGUGAGCUGAGCUUCAUUCACUUGCUCAGUGGGCUUCAGGCUGUGCCCCCUCCUCCUUUAGAAAAAUUGAGAUGUAAUUCAUAUACCAUUUUAAAGUGUGAAACUGAGUAGUCUUUAGUAUACAAGUAGCUCCCUCUUUCUGAAAGUUUGCUUUAAGUCACUUUACUUUUAUGAAAGAC
rnacentral:lncRNA from 9 species